CUAAGUUACUUUUGGUCAAAUGCAAGGUACCUCGGGGUGGUUGAAAGUAUAUCAUUCUUUUACUUCAUCCUUUCCUUUGUACGUCAAACGAUCAAGAAUAGCAGUUGAACUGCUCCUGCACAUGGUCAGAAAAAGCAAAGAAACAGGUAAGCUUCUUCCUUUCUCCGUAUCCCUUUUACACCAAAUCCUUCUCAUUCUGCACUGUAGAAAACACAUGGCUAACGUAUCAGUGGUAAUUAUUGCCAUGGAAACCACCAAUUGUUUCAUAGAUUGAGUCUACUUUAUGGUACUUUUUCUCCUUCGUUACAUUUUGUGAUAUCGCGUACAGUAGAGGAGAAGAAAAAAGAACUCCAGCAAGAAAGAGUUUUGGAGAAAGGGCCACAGGAAAAUUGCAAUGAUUUUUCUAGCAAAUACAGCUAUUCAAACAAGUCAAAAUUUUGUGAAAUCUCAGAGACCAAUGGCCAUCAAGUGUUUGAUAAAAUGUCUAUGUGAAACUUGGGAUAGCAGAGAAAACACGGAAAGAAUGAUCGCACAGGGACCAAAGAGGACGUUACUGACACCAUUAACAGUGAUUCUGGCAAGUGAAUUUAUUCUGGGAAUGGUGGAUCUAAGAUGAACUUGGCUAAUGCGGUGGCUUAUUCUCCCCUAGGAGUGCUAAUGGGCUUGUCAAGAGUAUUGGAGUUGGUGGAGUUGCGAGCAGAAGUUAGCAAACUGUUGUGGGUUCUGGGGUUGGAAAAAAAAUUGUCCCUCAGUCAUCUAAGCCAGCUCAAGAAAAGAAGCCCUAGGUUUCUACUGCUGAUGGUCAUGCUACAACCCCUGCUACUAAAAACUGUUGGCUUGAGACCAAAAAAUCUAUCCAUAUUGAGAUAGAAUGUACCAUUAGAUGCCUAUCAUGCAAGGAAGAAACUAGAGUUGAAGCGAGGUAAAUGUUAUUAUUUACUUUUCUAAUGCUAGAAUUGGUAAAUCAUUUACAACAAUAUAACUUCCAAUUUGCUUCAUGUGAUGGCAAAAUACGAUAGGUAUUGCUUGGGAUUUGUGGUAAAUGAUGUAACAGGAUCUUUACAUGCUGCAAUUUUCAGUCCAUAUGUUGAGAAAUUGUUAUCAUAUACCGCUCUUCGCCUAGCCAUGAUGACCAAGUAAGAUCAACUCCAUGAGCUAUAACUUGAUGAGUUAUUGCAUAAUAAUGAGUGCAACUUGAUAAAUGCGCUUAAAUGCUCUUAGAAGAACAAUUGUAGGAAAGGAUUGAAACAUUAUACUAAAAAGUCAUAUUUUUCCUUAAAAAAUUAAUGAGGCUUUGUUCAACUUAUUUGAUCCAUUUUAUAGCUUUAAGUUUUGCUUAUUGGAUUCAUUUAUAUGACAUUUUAUCACAAGUUUACCCGUACAAAUUCACGUAAAGCUUUUGAUCCUGACUCUUGAGAUAUCCUAAAGCCUUAUAAGAGCAUUCUUUUGGUUAGUUGGAAAUAAUUGAAAAAGAUAAGUUGUCUCGGUUAUGGAGUAGGCAUAAGUGAUUUAUAAAUUUCUACUAUUUGGUUUUUUAAUGAGGCUGCCAUAAAAAAAAAGACUCUAUAAGGUUUAAUAAGUUAUUUGUAUUUAAUGUAUCUGCUUAUCUGUUAAAAUUUUAGACUGUUGCCUUAGUUUUAGAUUGCAAAAAGCUAUAUUGCUUCGCAGUUGGAAAUUGCAUAGUCAACAUGUAAUUGUUGAUUAAAUAUUUCAAACAAAUAUUUCAGACAAAGUUCACUAAUGAAAUUAAGGAUGCUACACAUUUUACUAAACUAGCCUCUCAUGUUGAAGGGGUUACAAUGGUUUGUUUCAUCUAUGUUUUUAAUCUAGAAAAUCCAAGGACAAAAGGACAACGAAGAACAACACUAUCAAAGCAUACAUUACUGAGGUUGGCGGUCAAAUUUCGAUAGCAAUCCCAAAUGAAGAUCACAAAAGAUGUUCCCAAAUUUCAUAUCAUUGCUCAGGAUCCUUUAUGAUGGCGUUCUCCUAAAGAACUUGAUGGAAUAAAUGCAAGUUAGCAAUCUAAUUAGUGGGCAAUCAGUAUUUCAAUUUAUAGUUGUCUAGAAUAUAGCACUACCAGAAAGUUUUUGACUGCCUGCUGAAUUACUUGGCAGUGGGAAAGUAGAAAAGAUGUUAAUAUUGAACCAAUGCUCAGUUUCUAAACUAUGUUGUUAUUUACUCAAAUGAUGAAUUUGUAUGCUUAAUUCUUCUUUCUCCCUUUUAUUAAUCUUCUAACUUCCUUUAAACAAUUUUCUUCUUACAGAUUCGGAUGAUUGCAGCUCUCAACUUCAUUAGUUUUUAGCAUAUAUAAUGGAACCAAUCAUUAUAGUAUUUUUUUUUUCCUUUUUUGGCGUUGGAUUCUUGGAAAAAUUGCUGUUGAAAUUUUAAGUAGGAUCUAAAUUAUGUCAAUAUCUUUGAAACUACAAAAUUGAAAUCCAAUUCUAGACUUUUACCUGUA